rnacentral:rRNA from 1 species
GACGAACGCUGGCGGCGUGCUUAACACAUGCAAGUCGAACGGAAAGGCCCUGCUUGCAGGGUGCUCGAGUGGCGAACGGGUGAGUAACACGCGGGUGAUCUGCCCCUUACUUUGGGAUAAGCCUGGGAAACUGGGUCUAAUACUGGAUAGGACCAUGCUGUAGGUGGUGUGGUGGAAAGAUUAGUUUCGGUAAGGGAUGAGCUCGCGGCCUAUCAGCUUGUUGGUGGGGUAAUGGCCUACCAAGGCGUCGACGGGUAGCCGGCCUGAGAGGGUGGACGGCCACAUUGGGACUGAGAUACGGCCCAGACGCCUACGGGAGGCAGCAGUGGGGAAUAGUGCACAAUGGGCGCAAGCCUGAUGCAGCGACGCCGCGUGGGGGAUGACGGCCUUCGGGUUGUAAACUCCUUUCAGCCAUGACGAAGCCCUUGUGGUGACGGUAGUGGUAGAAGAAGCACCGGCUAACUACGUG